UUAACUCAUAUUUGUAUGGAGUUGGAAAGUUUUCCUACGUUUGCCGCUAGGGGCGCGGUUCGAACUGCAUACAAAUACAAGUUA
rnacentral:pre_miRNA from 1 species